CAGCUGUUCCUGGAGGAAGCAGCCCGUCGUCAGAGGAGAAGAUGACCUAACAUGGACAUUUGUGUCGCUGUGCGCUAAAACCCCAAAACAAGUUCCUGUUGUUUACAAUGAGAGCUGAAGACUGUCCAGCCUUCCUGCCGACCUACCACACGUUAACCAGAGAAACACCUGACAACUAGCUGACACGUGUAUUUGAAGUAAACAUGCAAUGGAAAAAUGAACGACAUAACAGUAAUACUAUACUUCCUGUAUCUGUGGUGGCCCUCAAUUUGCUGACAUCAUUCAGUGAAUACAGUCUCUGUAACUGAAGAAACACUCACUGUCUUGUGUCGGUGCGCAUACAUCAUUACACUGACCACAUGGGAACAGAUGACUUCUACAUUAACUCGUAAAAGAAGAAAUUAAAGUGGAACUAUGCUGUGACUGAUAUUCUCUGUUCUGCGCAGAGCCGCUGAAUGGAUAGCUUCUUGCUGUGGCUUCUCAAAGAAGAACAGGACAGCAGCAGGAUGCCAAUACCAGUGUAAAGGUGCAGAGCAGAAAGUGUGGACAGUCUCCAGUGAUGGAACAACAUCCAGUCAAAAUCUUCCCUAAUUCCUCUGGACAGUAGAUGUGCCCACAUUUCCCCUCCACCUUAUUUAUCUCUGACGUUUAUUCCCUUUGCAGCAUGUUGCUCUGUGUUGCUCUGUACUUGUUAUAAUGAUGACUUGUCCGAAAACUCCUUGUUGGGAAGUUGGAUAAUGUCUGACAGCAGACAAGUGCAGCAGUGGCUCAGAAGUGGCUAACAUCUACUUUUAUGUACUCAUCAUUUAUGUGGUAGAAAUGCAUUGUGGUCAGUACAGCAAAUUCAUCAAGUUAAUUAAAUAAAUGGUUGUUAAGAUCAUUAAAUGA